AAGUACCUCCCGCACCAAGCAUUAGUAAAGGAUGGGAUCACCUGCUUCUAUCAGCUUGUUCCAUGUACAUGCAUUGUGGCUUUUGCUGGUGACACAGAUGUAGGAUCUGGUGAGUCACUGUUGCCUUGCCCAUGAAAUAUUAAAGAGAGCCACCUACUGUGCUCUUUGCCCAUUUUGGAAAUUGUUCUGCAUGGAAAAAAAAGAAGAAGAAAAGAAAAAAGAAACACCAAAGAAUAGGAAGGUUACAGAACAUUUGAAAACACGGUGAAGGAUGAUGCUGAAGUGCCCGUUUGCAUAUAUUGACAGCAAGACCAG
rnacentral:lncRNA from 1 species